rnacentral:rRNA from 1 species
AACGAACGCUGGCGGCAGGCUUAACACAUGCAAGUCGAACGGGUGCAGCAAUGCAUCAGUGGCAGACGGGUGAGUAACACGUGGGAACCUUCCUAGGGGUACGGAACAACUCAGGGAAACUUGAGCUAAUACCGUAUACGUCCGUAAGGAGAAAGAUUCAUCGCCCCUAGACGGGCCCGCGUCGGAUUAGGUAGUUGGUGGGGUAACGGCCUACCAAGCCUGCGAUCCGUAGCUGAUCUGAGAGGACGACCAGCCACACUGGGACUGAGACACGGCCCAGACUCCUACGGGAGGCAGCAGUGGGGAAUAUUGGACAAUGGGCGCAAGCCUGAUCCAGCGAUGCCGCGUGUGUGAAGAAGGCCUGCGGGUUGUAAAGCACUUUCAGUAGGGAAGAAAAGCCGAGUGCUAAUAUCACUCGGUCUUGACGUUACUUACAGAAGAAGCACCGGCUAACUCCGUGUCAGCAGCCGCCGUAAU